CGACCUUUGAAUCUGGGUUACUUUUCCAUGAUCCAAGCCGUUUAUGCGACGAGUUUCAUACUGUUUGAUAGAAAAUCUGUGUAAAAGUUCUCUAUUUUGGAUUAUUUCAACCCCUUUAAAAGUUGCUCUUUUUCUUUGAAUAUGAAUCCUCAUUAUAUCUUUCGAGUAAUCAAACGAGUGAAAUAUCCAACCUACGAAUUUUAUCGAACACAUGCUAUCAAAAAGAAUUCCUAUCAAGUAAACGGUUUAUUCAUUGAAAAAUAAAAUCCCAAAUCCAACGGCCAGAGUCUCGACGUAUUUUAGUCUAAUACAUUUAGAUGUAUUCUAGAAAACCUCUUAAACGAACACAGCGUUCGAAACCUCUCGCUCUCAGAUAUUUUUCUCUCUCAUGCGAGUUCGCUGUCCAGGUCCGGACCUCUCUCUCUCUCUCUCUCUCUCUCUCUCUCUCUCUCCAGAUCUGCUUCUCUUCGAUGCUUCGUCUUCUUCCAUGCUCCCGCCCUACAUCUUCAAACCCAUCAGCCGUUCUCUCCGUUUCCCGAUUCGAAUAAUAAGAUCUCAAUCACAAUUGCUGUAAAUACCGUUCCCAUACUAACAUUCCGUCCUUCUCAAGAGAAUUUCUCCUAGCGAUUUAUCAUAUUCUACGGAAGGAGCUUCUAAAUCUUUCUUCCUUUGGAACAGAUGACAUUCUUGCUUCUACACGAAUCUCAUUUCCAGAAGUGGGCCUCAAGCACCUUUACGAGGAACAACAACACAAACCAGUACUAUGUGAUGGUUGAUUCAUGAAUGAAGCCAAUUUUUGUACGAUUUAGGGUUUUGCCUUGAAGAGGAAAAAGGAAAAAGAAAAGAAAAGGAAAGAAGAGGAAAGUGAAAGAAAGGAGAAGGAACAAGACAGAUAAGGGGGACAACACAAUAACAGGAAGCUAUUCCUGAAAGUCAAGGCAGCUCUUGAAACUCCUUCUGAAGCUGAAGUAUCUGCCUCAGAGUCUAUUGGUAUAUGAGAAAACAAAAACUGUGCUUCAAAAACCACCUGACAACGCAGUUGAUCAAAUCAUGGUGUCAGGUGCACAGCUUUCAUUUUUUCUCCAAUCAGAUCACAAAAAGACGUUCAUGUGGCAUUUACUAUGAAUGUAUAUCUCAACAUCCCUAGUAGUCAUCACCAUCUCAACUCUUUUGAUAUAUACCGAAGGUACAUUGAAGGUAACUUCUACAAAAAAAGAUACUAAGAACACAAAAGGCAAGAUAACAUAACAAAUAAUCAACACAAUAAAAUAACAUUAAUGAAUCGAUACCAUCUCACAAAAAUUGUUGAUGAACAUAAAAAAUAUUAUAUAAGCACACAACACAGUGGACCAUUCCAGUGAUGCAACUUGUCCUUGUAAAGCUUGCUUGUAUUGAUUUUUUUUUUUUUUUUUGCUAGAAAUAAUGAAAAGGUUUUGGUUUGCCUAUUGAAUGAAGUCACUGUUAAGUGGAAAGAAUUCUUGCUGCUGUCAUUUACUUACUACUUACAAAGUUCCAGAUGGUCGGAUAACAUACUGUGAUAAAAAUUAUUGCUACUGGUUUGGACAGUUGAACAUUAUUUUGUACAACACAUGGUGCCCAUACAAGGUUGUAGAUGUAAGUUUCCGUUUGAGUUAGAGAGGACUUUGGACUCUCAACUGGUUGAUGCCAUUGUGCCUUUUCCUACAUUGGAGCUAGCUCAUUUUAUAGAACCUUUUAGCAGUUUGGUGGCAUGUCCUAUGCCAUAAUCUUUGCAAGGAUAAGUUGCAGUGUGGCAUUGUACUAACCUUGUUUGGUCCACUUUUCUGGUAGUUUUUUUUUUUUGGUAGAUGUUUGCCAUCGAUUCUGUUACCCAAUUAUGUUGUUUUGGUCAUUAAUAUAUCCUAUCUCAUGUGUUCUUGUAUACUUAUAUUGUUGUAGUGAUGUCGCCAGCUAUUUUAUUCCUUCGAAUAUGGAAAGAAUGAUGGGUUGUAGCUACUAGGUAACCAUAAUGAAUAUUAUUGCUAUUCAGACACUAAAAUGUCUCAAGAAUGCCAGGAGUCACCAUGACAUUAUGCACACGAUGUCAAAGUUUGUGAUGGUUGAUUACAUUCAUCUCUCGAGUGUUAUAGGUAGUCCCAACAAAACUCUCUUGAGAAUAAGAAUGUUAGUGCACUUGUCCAAGUGGGAGAAGAACAUGAUGAAAAGCAUGCUUUUAUAUGAGAAGUUCAGUGGCAACCAUCUUGCUUCCAAGGUUAUGAUAUUUGUUUCAGCUGUGUACAUGGACAUGCAUACUUGUCUGCUCAGCACUUUGCAGGUAUGAAUGGAAAACCCGUAACUAUAUAUAUGACAGUUUGUCGAUUCAAGAAGUUGCUCAUCCCCAGCUCUGGAAUCACCUCACAUUGGCAACACCUACAUGACAAAACGAUUCCACCUAGUUCUACGCACCAGCUCAACUGGUACCUGCACACCCUAGAGGCCAAGCAGCCAAAAGAGGGUCAUGGAGGGGCCAGACAAAUCAUUGAUCUGAAGGUGUGCACACAAUCUUUCCUCAUAUCAGGUAAUAAACACAAGCACCUAAGAUUCUGGUGUACACACAUGUUGGUCAAUCCGCUAAAAAAUGGAAAGGACAUGCUGAAGUAGUUGGCUGCAAAGAAUGGCAGGGAACCCACUGAUGCAUGUUUUCUGAACACAGCCCACAUGCCAACGUGAUUAUGCCCAACACUUGAAAAGUCUUCAAUGGUAAAUUUAUUAAGAUAAUUUCAGCAUGAUUUCAGCUGAGGGAUCUCAUGAAGAAGGAUUACGAUAUCUUUCGACAUAAAAAUGCAUUUCUUGUUCUGCAUUGGAAAUGUGGACUUGAAGUAUAAAAACAACUAGUCUUUCUCAUGUUGCCUAUAUAGAGGUUUUUACACGUGGGAUGAUCUGGCAUGAACUAUCAUAAUCCAUACUGGUGAUGGUUAUCAAUAUCAUGAGAGUUGAAUCAUCAUCAUCUAAGCCUUAUCCCAACUAAUUGGGGUCAGCUAUAUCAUGAGAGUUUAAUAUUACUCACUAUUUAUGCAAUUUUAAAGUUAAUUUCUUCACCUGUUUGGAAGUGCUCUCAAGUGUCCCGCACGGCUACCUCUAAAUGACCAUGCACCAGUUAUUUUUAUAGAAAUGAAUAAAGUAACAAGUAAAAUAAAAGGUAAGGAAAUUUAAAUGCAUAACAAAAUGUCACAAAUGAAUGACAAUUGCCAAAAAAAGUCUAAAGCUGUAUACUAACAGAGAUAAUCAACUAAAAUAGCAAUCCAGCAAUAAAUUAAUAAAGGCACAUUUUAAAAAUAAUAAUAAUAAUAAGGGUUCAUUUGGUUGCACCAAAUAUCAUGAUUUGUCUGUCUAAUCUGGUUCAAAUUUUCAUGAUAUUUCUUGAUAUUGGUGCAACCAACUACACCAUAAAUAAAUAAAUAAUCAAAUAGCAAUACAUCAUGCAAUAACUAAAAAGGUCAUAACAUAUAAAAGGGUGUAUUUUUAGAAGAAAACUGAGUAUUUAUUUAAGGAAACCUUGACUUCUGAAGUUGAACUCAACACUUGUUGUUCCUCUUUUGCUUUGUGGUAUCGAUCAAUUACAGACUUCAUGCUGAAAAGAAUAACAUCGUGGUCAGAUUUUCUAAUUUUUUUUUUAAUGCAAUUAGCAGACAAUACAAUAGAUAUGCAGUUGCUAACACAAGGAAUAUUAUUGGUUGCCUUCAUCAUGACAGAGCAGAAGUAAUGAAAUUCUGAUCAGGAUAUCUAAUGGCUGGAUUUAAGUCUUUGGUCAAUACCACAGCAAACCUAACAUAGAACUAUUCAUCUAUUUACUAGGGAAAUCUCCCAUUUUCCCUAAAUUCAUCCUAUAAGUUUCCAGAUUUUUUUUUGAAUUGGAUUAAUUGAAUUAUUCCAGAAUCAACCUUGUAGCAUCUGUCCCUAUCACAUGGACAGCUUGGAUCACCUAACCGUGUGCCCACUGGUAGAAAAAUAACAACUUCACUGUACUAUAGAAACCGAGGUAUUCUGUAUUGGUAACGGUGGCCGUAAUGGUCACCACCAUUACCAAUACGGGGGCGUCACGACCGUUACAACUCCUAUAACCAUUGAGAAUUUUCUUUUUUCCCGAAAAAAUAUGAUAAAAUAUCUAGAAAAUCCAAAAUAAUGUAAAUAUUCCAAAUAUGUAUUCAUUUUUGUUUUGUUUUGUUUUGAACAUGUUUAUGUUAGUGUAACGGUCCACUCUUUGGUGAGAGUGUUGCAUUGGGCUUUCUAAUGAAUUUGUGAACAUGAUUAUAUGUCUCUAAUGUUUACACAUCACAAUCAAGUAUUAGAACUAGCAAUCGGAAAAAAAAAUGCAUAAAUAUUACUUUUUCAAUUUUUUUUUUUUAAAAGGUCCUCGGAACUUCUAUUCGCUCAAAUCACUUCAAUCUAUGGUUUUAAUAUUAAAAACUAUAGUAAGAUCGGUCAAAAUAUGUUGUAAAAUAAUCUAGGAGAGUUUUAGGAAUGAGAAAGGUGAAAAAAUGAGGAGAAAAUGGAUUUUUUUUUAAAAAAAAGUGGUUGUUUUUCAACCGUUACGGGGUAACAAUCAUUAUGCCUCGUAACGGCCUUUAUGGCUACUGUAACGGCUGAUACGGUCCCAAACAACCAACUGCCCUAUAUCACAUAACAGUCAUGGCCGUUACCUAUAUGUAUCGGCCGUUACGGGCGUAUUGUAAUGGAUACAGAACACCUUGAUAGAAACUAUUGAGAUGAGCAUUGAAAAUUACUUCCAACUGCAAACAGAAAACAGGCUGCUAUCUUAUUUUCAUGGAACAGGUAACAAAGGCUUCAAGUAGCAUCUUCUCCAUUCAACUUGCGACUGUGAUGGACCCCAUUCAUCAAAGUUUGUAUUCAAGAUCGUACCUUCGGCAUAGUUCUGAAACUACAUGGUUUGACUAGAAAAAUUCCAUAGAGUCAACUUGAUGAGAUUUUGAGCAAAGUCAGUGGAGACUAUGCUACUUGGUUUUGAAUUGGCAAGGCACAUUGAGUUGUCUUGCUGAGUCAGUCCAGUCAACCUUACUGGAGCCAAGUCACAUGCAAUUUGGGUUAAGAGAAGUAAAAAUUGAGUAUCCAUAGCACAAUGUGUUGAGCCAUCAGUCAAGGGCCCAUGCAUCUUUGCCUGCAAGCACAUCUCCUUCGUUCGACACUUACUCUGCCGACUCGGAUCCAUGACACGACAUUUGCAUGCCCCAUAGCCCAUCAGAGGUCACAUCAGACGGAUGGUCACAUUUUGACAGCAGCGAAAGUUUUUGACAAAUUUUGAUGCUGCAGUAAAAGGGUGUUUCCGCCACCUGAAGGAAUGGCAAGGACGGCUACCACAGGCGACACAUGGCGCAUUCAUCAAAGCCCAGCUAUCACAGGUGACACAUGGUGCAUUCAUCAAAGCGAGCAUAGUUGUUGAGAAACAUCUGGGCAGGAUCCUUCUUGGCCUAUGCUGAUUGUUGUUCAGUCUCCUUUACUGUACGUCUUCUAGUGUUCAGGCCUGAAGCAAACCUCUACCUCUGCUUGCCAUAGUCCAAAGAUUCAAAACUUUACCCAACUCGAUGUCUAGUCAGAUCGGGUUAGCUCAAAGACUCGAUAGUCUUUACUUGACUCAAUAUGUAAUAAUUAAAAACCAUAUACACUUAUUAUGGUAAUCAAUAUUAAAAAAAGGCCACACAAAUCACAAACCUUGGUUAGA